GGAGUUGACUGGGUAAUCGCUGCUUCAUUGAUGUCCUUCGGGAGACUGAUGGAGGGGAGGAACGUCCGGGCUCCAUAGAGCAGGGUGCCAGGUAACGCCUGGGGAGCGUGAGCUCACGACAAGUGCAGCAGAGAGAAGACCGCCGAUGGCCUCAUUUCUUCGGAAGAGGCACAGGUAAGGCUGAAAGGGUGCGGUAAGAGCGCACCGUGCGUCUGGUAACAGUUCGUAGCAAGGUAAACUCCACCCGGAGCAAGAUCAAAUAGGCCCUCACAUUGCGCUGCUCGCGUAUGGGGGCGGGUAGAUUGCUUGAGCCUGUGAGCGAUUGCAGGCCUAGACGAAUGGUUAC
rnacentral:RNase_P_RNA from 1 species